rnacentral:rRNA from 1 species
ACGCACGCUGGCGGCGUGCUUCACACAUGCAAGUCGAACGGAAAGGCCCUGCUUUUGUGGGGUGCUCGAGUGGCGAACGGGUGAGUAACACGUGAGUAACCUGCCCUUGACUUUGGGAUAACUUCAGGAAACUGGGGCUAAUACCGGAUAGGAGCUCCUGCUGCAUGAUGGGGGUUGGAAAGUUUCGGCGGUUGGGGAUGGACUCGCGGCUUAUCAGCUUGUUGGUGGGGUAGUGGCUUACCAAGGCUUUGACGGGUAGCCGGCCUGAGAGGGUGACCGGCCACAUUGGGACUGAGAUACGGCCCAGACUCCUACGGGAGGCAGCAGUGGGGAAUAUUGCACAAUGGGCGGAAGCCUGAUGCAGCAACGCCGCGUGCGGGAUGACGGCCUUCGGGUUGUAAACCGCUUUCGCCUGUGACGAAGCGUGAGUGACGGUAAUGGGUAAAGAAGCACCGGCUAACUACGUG